rnacentral:rRNA from 1 species
UUUAGGAGCUGUUCAAUUUGAUCCAUUUGCCUGGUCAGUACCUGGAUUGGAGACCUCCUCGGAAAGCUAGGUUGCUGUUGGAA